AAGACUAUACUUUCAGGGAUCAUUUCUAUAGUGCUGUACUUGAGAAAGGUGUGUCAAAGUGGUAGAUCUCGCAUCCAUGAUGACGAUUAAAGAUAUCCCGUUCAGAGCAUGAAUCUGGUGGUUAGAAGUGACUUUGCUCAUUUUUCUUCCACCUUUGAUGACUGUUCCUUGUUCUUCAAUGAACGUGGAUGAAGGAAUAUGUUCUGAGUGGA
rnacentral:snoRNA from 1 species